CUACAAAUACCAAAAAGCAUUGGCCAAAGAGAAACGUGUCCCUUCGAUGAAACUGGAGCAGAAAAGGAAGAACUCUUUACUAGACCAAAGUGAACAAAACGACAAAAAGCCUCUGCACCGAAUGCUCAGAGCAGAUGGCAAAUUGUCAAUCCAAGCUACUGAAAAUGCUUCCUGAGCACCAGGUACAAGCAAAGCCCUGAGCUAAGCUUUGUCGGGGUUGGAAUACAGUUUCUGCCUUUUAGUAGUUUGCAAUUUAGAUGGAAAGACACAAUAUGCUCGUUCUUCACAUAUGGAAGAAUAUUUUCAGACCAAUUUAUUAAAACUAGAUUUAUAAUAUGGCACACACACACACAAUCGCUUAGUGAUGGCUUCUUAGGAAUAAAGGAUUUUGUUUACAAUCAGAACUGGUAACUUACUCCUACAAUAGUUUUCAAGUCCCACUGUCUCCUUCAUAUAGUCCAUCUAGUGAAACUGGCGGAAGCCUAGAAACUCCAAUGUGCUCCACACAUAAGUGUAUUUAGCUGAGACAGUCAACUCUGACCAAGUUUAAAAAAAAAAAAAAAAUACGGAAGAAGGAUCCAAGUUGGUACUAUAAUCUGUGGUGAGCUCUCUCAUCAGAGGACUAUUAGAAGGUAGAUUUGGGAUUUGUUCCAGUGAUCUUAAAACCAGGGCUUCGUGGGAGGAUGGAAAUUCAGCUGGGAAAAGAGGGAGGAGGGAAAGAAAGGGGCACAAGCUCAACAUCCCAAAUCAUUAAUGUUUACAUUCUUAAUUUAGUAGUCUCUCCUACUAAAUUAAGGAUUUAAGAACCCUGGUAAACAGUCUUAGAGCUAUGACAUGGAUGAUAAAAGAGAAACAGCUCAGAUACAGCCCCCAAUUCAGGUUGUGCUGAGAAUUCCAACCUAGAGUGACACAGUAAAGAUUCUGAAAGGCCAGCAAGGAUACCUCAGUGACUAACUUGUGUUCACAAAGGCUUCUAAUCAGGUUGAAGAUGAAACAAGACCUGUCUAACAGAGGCUCUUUCCUUAGAAAAAUGGCUCAUGUGUAGAAUUAUCCCAGAACUAUUAUGGAGAGUUUGCUAUUCCAGUCAACAAAUACUAAUUGAGCACCUAUUAAGUACUGGUAACUGGACUAGUCACGGGGGAUAUUUAUAAGGAUGUCCUCUAGUGGGGAAAUCAAGACUUAUAAAGUAGGGAUCAAAAGAGGGCAAGGGCUUCUCUGAGAGCUGGCUGUGCAGUGCACACCGGAAAGCCAGGAAGCUAAGCAUUCCACUUUCUUGCUGCUGGGCUCUGGGCCAUAGCCACUGUGACUAGAUUAACUCCUACUUUGGAUCAGCCCCCAGCUCCCAGGAUAAGAACAUGGACCAAAGACAGCACCAUGGGACACCCUGGUGGCAUCAGGUAGAUAUUACAAGCGCCGUCCACUUGAGUCAAACUUAUCCUCCUCCCCCUAAGAAUUUUGUAGAAAAGACUUCAAAAAGCAAUGUGAUCUGAAUUCAAGUUUUGGCCCUGCUACAUUAUCUCCUAAACCUAUUUCCUUAAACUGCAAAACGAGGCAAAUACCUCUGGAGGAUCAAAAUGAGUCAAAGUAUUUUGUAAACAAAGAGCUAUCACUUUAAUGACCAGGCAAUAGUCAAUGGCCUUGCAAACAUUUUCCCCUCAAAUUUCCAUGGUUAAAAAAAGGUAGAAAAAAGGACACAAGCCCUUGAAAUCACUACUGUGGGAAUAAGCCCAAUCUGAUUGGAGAAGCACACUGCCAUCUCAAAUCUCAACUAUGCAGCACACUGUCUACGAUUCCAUUAGCAUGUUUAUUCAAACGUUUGUAUCAGGUGUGUGUACUACCAUACUGGGGUCGUAUGCAGCUGGGGGAAAUAAAACAUAUUCAUGAAAUGACUAGAGAAAAGCUCAAAGGCAAUGUAUGUUAGAUGCGACAUACUAUAUAAACAUGCUGAAUAAAAGCUAAACAGAAUGCCAUUAGUCCAACAAUGCUUGAAUUAGUCUUUAGCUGAUCAUGAAGGAGUGGAAUUAUUUUUGAGAAUGACUGUAGGAUUUUUUUGGGGGGGGUGGGGAAGGGUAGCGUUAAAUACAUGCAUGCAGGGUUACUAGACUUUGACAGAAUUACUUAAUCUCAGUUGAUCCUUUAUCAGCCUAGAGACCAGGGUCAGGGUAUUAGAGUCAUGUUUAAGACUCUUUCCCAACUCAAAGAAAUAAUAUGCUGUCCAGUUUUUUCACUCUAAACAAAUCUUUAUUCAUGAAUCCUGAAAACCAAAAUGAUUCAACCCCAGUGAGAAAUCUGCAGGGAUCCUCACUGUGGCAGGACCACGAAAUUCACAUGUGAUUCAAAGCUUCCUCUGAAAUAAUCAAUUUUAACGUAAAGUAACAGAAAAAGACCCAGGAAAAGCAGCAAAAGGGAACUGCUCUCAUCUUUAGGAAACAAUGGCAUGGAUUCUUCAUGAUCUGGACUGAAGAAACUGUGCACAGUUUAUCACAAAACGUAACUUUCUUUUUGGACAAUAUUUACUUUUCCAAUUAUACUUAGCCUAGGCUAACAUUUAAUUUAUAUCUCCUGGCUUCAUAUCUAAGGAGGAAUUAUUUGAUGCAAUUUGAGGAUUAAAAUACAUUCUGUAAUAAUCUACCUACAGUUAGGCAACAGUUUGUGAAACAGAUUUAGGACUUUGAAUUUAAGGAGUACUAACUUCUUUUGCCAAUCAACAUUUAUUAAACUGUUAGCACUGCAUUUGGCUCACGGGAAUACAAAUAUUACAAAAAAUACAUUAGGUACAAAAAAUACAUACAAAGCAUUCAUUAAGAUACAUUGUGGGGAGGUUAAAUAAAAAUGAGAACAGUCAGAGAAGUAUUUACCAGAUCAACCAGAGCAAAGGAAGAUGCGAUUGGGAAUAGUGAUAAAUUACAAAGAUAGAGUAUAACCCAUCAUUGAUUUGUACUACUGGAGUGACAUGUUAAUGUUUUAGGAGAGUUAGAUUUCAACAAUUUACAGGAUGGCCAAGAUGAAUAAGAUUGGAAUCAGUGAAGCCAGUUAAAAGACUUUAGGGAUGAAUUUGGGUGCACAGACAAGGAUACCAAUAUGGCAAAUGGAGAUGAAGACAAACCCAAGAAGCAUUUUUAAGAACUUUAUGCCUAGUUUUAAGACAAGGGACAAUUUUUAGUUUUCUUUGUUGUAGUGUGCUUGUACUACUAUUUUACACUUCUAGUCUUAAGAUGUAGAUGUCACCCUUGGUUCAACAUUUUAGCUGAAAUUUCUAGGCAUGCCUCUCUAAGGGUAGAAGAAAUUCAGCCCAGGGCUUCCUAGUCCUAAUUUAAGGCUGUAGGUUCCCUUUGUUUAACGUUGUAGUUCAUUCCAAUGUAUUAGAUCCUGAUAAUUGCUGCAACCUGAAAGCUUAUCCAAAACUUACACGCAAGGACUCCCCUAAUACCCAACGCUCAAAGAACAAUUCUGCUAUGCCUUCUGGUAUUUUACCAAUCUCAGUAAUUUUUUACAAAGGGAAUUCUGUAUUUUCAUUUAUACAGUCUGUAGCUUCAGAGUGUCUCCUCAAAAUUUAGACACAAAGAGCUAACAUUUUUAGGAUUAGGAACAAGCUUAAUCUAUUCUUCAAUGCUCUCAAUACAAUUUGCAGCAAGGAUGCUGGUCAGCAACUACCUUCCGCAGCCUCACUUGUUACAGUCUUAGCAGGCAGGGAAAUUUCUAUUGUGUAAACUUAAUAGAUUCCUUUUCUCCCUUGGAAAAAUACCCUUAUUUGUCCACUUUUAGUGUCUUACCCUUCAAAAUGGACAAGUAACAUUCGUGUUUAAAAACAGUUAUUCCCAUACCCAUCUUCUUUGAUGACUAAAUCCAAUAAGCCUUGUUAUACAUUAUUCUUAGUGGCAAUUUAUACUUUAAACAGGAGGCAAGUCUGUAUCCUUUACAUUUUCAUGUGAAGAUGGGAGAAAGAUGAUGGGAAUGACAAAUGCUAAAGUGUUAAUUCCCAAUAGUUUUCAGUUACCCUUUUAAAAAUAAAAUGGCAGUAACACACCAAGAGAACUGUGUAUUGACUUUUUGAUCACAAAGGAUACUCUGUGCCUACUUAAGCAAGACUUAGAAAAUACAGAGCACAAACAGCUAAUUUUGACUAAUGCACAGUGUUUUAAGACAAACUAACAAAUAUAUCAUUAAAAUGCGUCUCAAUAUUGUCAAAAAAUACCGAUCACUCCUAAAAUUAUUUCACACCAUAAAAACUAUAAAUGCCUGAAAAGUGUAUUUAUGUCUUCUACUCCAUGACCAAUUUUAGGCCUUUUUUUUUUUCUUUUGUGGCACACCUAUUCCUGUACCCAAUUUUCACUCCUGGCUUUACUAUUCGUGCCUUGAGAUGUACAAGACAGGCAAAAAAAAAAAAAAUCAGAUUCACUUCUUCAGCAUUUUCUCCAAAGUCCCAGAAGCCAGACAUAUUUUCCUUAUUUACAGAAGUUGAGUACCCAUAAGCUCUAUUUGAAACCUAAAUGGACCAGAAGCUUAAAAGGGAAGGGUUUGCCCAACAGAUGGGAAGUUAGAAGCAAAGUUACGGGAAGGGAACCAUCAAAAUCAUCUAACUCUGGAGCUGGUAUAAAGGAUUAAGGUAGCUUGAUCUCCACCUCCCCCUAUGGAUUAACAGGGAUAACUUUCUAGUUCCUUUUGUAUCAUAUAGCUCCCUCUAGUGGUUAAGCGAUUUCCCUAGCACUUGUUAUUCCACUAUAAAAAAAAGUAGUGGACUAUUGUAAACAAAUUUCAUUACAUUUGGCAAUCUCACUGUUUUUAAAAAUUUCAUGGUCACUGUGAGUCUGAAUCCACUCGAUGGCAGUGGGUUUGUUUUUUUUAAUAAGCUCUCAAUUUCUAUUCUCAUUGAUAAGAGCAGGAACAAUCUCUACUUUGUCCUACUGUUACAGACUUCUAAAUUUUAACAGUGACAGGGACUUUUUUUUAACCUGAUGCUUUGGUGUACCUCCUUUUUAAGAGAUCAAAGGACAAAAAACCCAGGAUUUGCUGAACUCUUCAAGUGUUCUGUUUCAUCUGUUUGGCUAGAUAAGGUUGCCUUCUUCAAAUCUCCUUGGUAACCUUGCCUAACAAACACCUAUUAAAAUGCUGUAAAAAAUCAUGAGGUUAUUUCUGCCUAAAUUAACUUCUAUAUGCCAAGACUAACUGGUUCAUUUUCUGCACAUCAGAAAAGCACUGGGUGAUUUUUGUAGUAGAAACAGUUCUUUCAAUCCCUACAAAUUCACAACCACCUUCAAAGUUGCCAGCCACAGCUUUCAAAGCUAGCAAAAAGCAUCCAAAGUUCUCAAUCACAGGAACAAAUAUACUAUAAAUUCUUGGGCCUAUAUUUAUAGCAUGUAGAGAGGUUUCCUUAUAAUCUCUCUUUAGUUUAUGCCAAUUCCAGCUUUUCCUCUAAGAUCAUAUUGGUCAAUAUUCCUUCAAGGAAAGUACUGCAACAACUGCUGUCCAAAAGAGAAUAUAGUGUUCCACUGUAUUUUAGGAUGAAUGAAUAUUUCCUUCAAUGAAAUGCAACUGCUAUGAGACCAUUAGACCAACAAAAUAAAAAAUGUGGGUCAUACCUUUUUGUCAUGUGACUACUCCAGCUUAAAAAGAUGGAGAACUUCAAUCUCAAUAAAAGAUCUACAGUUAACACUUUGUUUUUACACAUACAUCCAAGAUUACAUACAGAAGCAUUAGCCCUGGGUAUUCUAGCACAAUUCUACAAUCCCUUAUCCGAACUCCUGAGGGCAGGUGUAUUUGAAAGGCGGAGUUGUUUGCACUUUCUACAACUUUUAUUAUGUAACAGCAACAGCCACAUCUGCAGCAACAGUGUAAUGCGUUAUUUCCGCAGAACAGGCUAGUCAUGGGUAGGUGCGAAAUGGAUACACCAAUUCUGGUCAGGUUUUACACUAAAUUAGUUCAACAACAAAUCUUCACUUUCAUUUGAUGGAUUUCAGAAUUGUGGAUAAGAGAUUGUGAAUCUGUUUCCUGUCUUCAUACUCUGUACUCUAAUCGAAAUAAGUUAAACCGCAGGGCAGUUGCACUACAACAGUACUCAUUCAAAAAUGUCUCUUAAUACUAUUUAAUAAAUUUACAGACCCAACUUACUUCAUUACGAAUUUCAUACACAAAGCAAAAAGGCACAAAGGAAAUUCACCUUGAUUACAGAAAUCUGAAAAUCAGGCCUAAAGACCAAAACAUGUUUGACAACUCUCAAAAUUGAGGCUCUAGAAUUAAUCAUAUUGAAGUCAAGCACUAUACUACAUGGAUGUAUGAGCACUUAAAAAUAUAAAAUUUAGGGAAAAAACAUUUCCAAUGAGGGGAAUCUGUUCAUAUUCCAAACAGUAUUUUUAAAAUAGUAAACUUAGCUCUAAAAAAAAAAUUUCAGAUCCCAAGCCAUUAGGAAUCAAAAAUGAGUCUUACCUUUUGUUUCCAGGAUGUGGGCUGAACAGCAAGAUGGGUUAUUCAAUCUGAUGUUAUGAAAAAUAAUUGCUUCUUAAAAAGAUUUAAAUUUCUCCUUGGUUAGAAAAUAACAAACUAAUCACAGGCUCCCUAAAAUAUUCUACAGGAACAUCAAUACGCGGAAAAGUGGGAAAACUUUUGUAGCCAGCCUUUGUAGUCCCCAAAGCGCACGACUCUCCUCUAAUAGCUCCCAACAUGGACAGUCUAUGGCUCCUUUCCUAACCGACUAGAAGAGCAGCAGCCUCGUCACCUUCUGGGCACAACCUACGUUCCUCUACGUUUCCUCAGACGCACUAAGUUCUCUCUAAUCUUCAAACAGCCUGUGAACCAGGCAAGGACUACUUCCUUCCUAUUUUACCUUGGGGCUUGAACUACCAAAACUCUUUGUAUGAGUGCAUCUUUCAAUUUAGCUUACACACACUCAACCUUGAAUGAAGGUCAUUUCCAUUUUAGUUGUUUCUAGAACAUUCAAUGAACACAAAUAACAUGUCUAGGUCAUAUUAACUUUCCCAUUUUUCUUUCAGCCACUUGAAAAAAACUUAAGCAUAUCAUGUAAAAUUCUCAAUUCUUCAGAAAUUUAGCUUUAAAUAGUAAAUCUUCGUUUCUUGGCCUAUCUUCUUAAAUCAGUACUAGAAAAAGACCUAUUUAUCAGUGUGUGGAACCUUCUCUUCCACCUGACAUUCCACAAGGUUCAUUUAAAUAUAUUGGUUGAGUGACUUCAUGCAAAUUUUUCUUGGGGCCCAUUUUCAAGAUUAAUUUUGGUUUACCUAGGUUUCAAACUGUCGCCUGAACAAUCUUAAAUUCAGCAUGCAACUAUGAUUAAGCGCCCAAGGGAAAUGCUGAAAGCCAGUGAUUCCUCUUGGGUUGCAGAAAAGUGGUUUGAUAGUUGUGACUACCAAUCCAAGUAUGAGAAAAAAAGACAUUAGGAAUUUUAAGUAAAACUCUCAUCCCAUACCCUAAACAAUUAAAAAAUUUAGCAUCAAGGGGCUGUCCAGUAUAGGCACAAAAACAAACCCCAAGAUAUAACCACUGCUUUGGUAUGUUUUGGGUGCAGAAUUACCUUAUGCUUCAGAAGGAUUUACAAGACAAAACUCUGAAGAAUGGCCCCAGCUUUUUAUUAAUGAUUCACUCUAGUAUAUCACUCACAUUUCACAAGGUAAAUGUGAUUUGUGGUAAUUGUUCAAAUAGAUCUAUGCUGAAUUAACAUUUAAUACUUACCAAUUUUUGACAUAAGUUUCACUGAGAAUCUCAAAUGCUAUCCCCAAGCGAACACUGACUUACUAGUCACCACCCAAUUUUGCACAAAUGCCUAUACUGUCUAGAUGAUCACCCAAAAUAAGUAGUAUCUCUAAGCCUUUAAUCACUUCUAUCACAGUAAUGGAAGUUUAUCUUCUAAAGACCACCCUCUCAUUUACCACAUUAAAUAACUUACUCCCACCUCUUCUUAUUUUUCCCUUAAGACUUUAACAAUUGACAGUAAAAGGUGGCUGAUACCAUUUAUUAGAGAUUGCCUUUCAAGAACUUUUAAUUUACUGACACAUAAAUGGGGUCAGACCUUACCUUACUUAUCAAUUUAAGGUAUUAACUGAUAACACUAGUCACCCAGUUAAAAUCAACUUACAUGAAGAGGAAAAAGGACAACCAUGCAUAGUUUUUAAAAAAAUGUUUAUUUUUUCAAAGAAAAAUGGCAAUAGCCAAUUGGAAACCUACUUAUUCUUCAACUCCAAUUUUGUUUUCUUUAAAUUUAGAAGUGACUUACUGAUUUACUAUUUUAAACAAACCCCCCCUUUUCCCCUUUAAAUGUUUACCAUCUACUCGUGCUGAAUCCUUCCAAGGAGAUUGCUCCAGCGUAUUAUCUCCAGGUCCUCGCUUUGCUCCUUUUACCAAAAAUUGCAAAACACAAUUCCAUCGUGCAUCUUAAGGGCUCCAAUCGUCAAAAAUAGGAAAAAAAAAAUUCUUUGGAAUAGCCAAUUAAGUUGAAUAAAAACAAAAACAAAAAACAAAAAAAUCCACACGAAUGCGGUUUGGUUGGGGCAGGAAUCCACUCCUAUGUUCCUGGUAAUCUGAUCCCGCUCCAUGAAUCCUUGUAAUUCAUCCUCCCUAUCCUAUCCACAUUAUGAUUUGAAUCCAAUGAUCCAGCUCCAAGGAUUGGGAUCCAGUGAGCCCUCUCCAAUCCAAACCUUUAUAACCAGCAAAACCAAAAAAGAGGAGGCAAAAUGUUAGAUACUGUAAUCAAAAAAGGUUUCUGGGGAAUGAUGAGUUAUGUCUGUCAUCAGUUUAACAGAUGUACAUCAAUAACUAUCAAAUUCCCCAAAACAAGUUUCUGAAUGGUGUUCAGAUAAACUUUAGAAACUUAAUCAUUAUAGAGACUAAUUGGAAGAAGCAUUUUAUAUUUACAGUUCAACUGAUAAUGCCAACACUUGUUACUGUACAGCGUAUUACAGGUUUUGUGGUUGCAAAAAGAGUUAUGUAGUUGAAAAGUUUACUGGUAUUGCUAAACCCACCUAAGUCUAAACUAAAUAAUGCUCUCGUCUGCAAUUUGUAAAUUAAAGUGUUUUAACACGAAUCAAUUAUGAAUAUUAGUUUAAAGGGAAAGGUGAGACAAAGUAUUCCCAUCUAGAUUAUCUACACCAAUAUGCUGGAAUUCUAUAUUUUGCUUUCAUUUUGUCUUAAAAAAAAAAAAAAAUGAAAUAGCAACGCUAUAUCAGUCACACA